rnacentral:rRNA from 1 species
AAUGAACGCUGGCGGCAUGCCUAACACAUGCAAGUCGAACGAAGUCUUCGGACUUAGUGGCGGACGGGUGAGUAACACGUGGGAACGUGCCUUUAGGUUCGGAAUAACUCAGGGAAACUUGUGCUAAUACCGAAUGUGCCCUUCGGGGGAAAGAUUUAUCGCCUUUAGAGCGGCCCGCGUCUGAUUAGCUAGUUGGUGAGGUAAAGGCUCACCAAGGCGACGAUCAGUAGCUGGUCUGAGAGGAUGAUCAGCCACAUUGGGACUGAGACACGGCCCAAACUCCUACGGGAGGCAGCAGUGGGGAAUCUUGCGCAAUGGGCGAAAGCCUGACGCAGCCAUGCCGCGUGAAUGAUGAAGGUCUUAGGAUUGUAAAAUUCUUUCACCGGGGACGAUAAUGACGGUACCCGGAGAAGAAGCCCCGGCUAACUUCGUGCCAGCCGCCGCCGUAA